GUGUCGUUAACCUGACCACAUCAGCCACCUACCCACUGAUGCCAAGCAGAAGCAUAGCACCAGCCCUGGACCAUGCGACAGCAGAUGCUGCCACAGACUGGGCCACAGAGCCCGCCACACUGGACCUGGCCAGAGAAACCAAAGGGCUCCCAGAGACCAGGACGGACGCAGCCAUGUCAGAGCUGGUGCCUGAGCCCAGGCCUAAGCCGGCAGUGCCCAUGAAGCCUGUCAGCAUCAACUCCAACCUGCUGGGCUACAUUGGCAUUGACACCAUCAUCGAGCAGAUGCGCAAGAAGACCAUGAAGACUGGUUUUGACUUCAACAUCAUGGUCGUUGGUCAGAGUGGGCUGGGCAAAUCAACACUGGUCAACACACUCUUUAAAUCUCAAGUGAGCCGCAAGGCCUCCAGUUGGAACCGGGAAGAGAAGAUUCCCAAGACAGUGGAGAUCAAAGCUAUCGGGCACGUGAUAGAGGAAGGCGGUGUCAAAAUGAAGCUGACCGUCAUCGACACCCCGGGCUUUGGAGACCAGAUUAACAAUGAAAACUGCUGGGAGCCCAUUGAGAAGUACAUCAAUGAACAGUACGAGAAGUUCCUGAAGGAGGAGGUGAAUAUUGCCAGGAAGAAACGCAUCCCUGACACUCGCGUCCACUGCUGCCUCUACUUCAUCUCCCCCACAGGACACUCCUUGCGACCUCUUGAUCUGGAGUUCAUGAAACACCUCAGCAAAGUUGUGAACAUCAUCCCUGUCAUUGCUAAGGCUGACACCAUGACCCUGGAGGAGAAGUCUGAAUUCAAGCAAAGGGUUCGCAAGGAGCUUGAAGUAAAUGGCAUUGAAUUCUACCCCCAGAAGGAAUUUGAUGAGGAUUUGGAGGACAAGACGGAGAAUGACAAAAUCCGGCAGGAGAGCAUGCCUUUCGCUGUGGUGGGAAGUGACAAGGAGUACCAAGUGAAUGGCAAGCGAGUCCUUGGCAGAAAAACACCCUGGGGGAUCAUUGAAGUGGAAAACCUCAACCACUGUGAGUUCGCCCUGCUUCGAGACUUUGUCAUCAGGACCCACCUCCAGGACCUCAAGGAAGUGACACACAACAUCCACUAUGAGACCUACAGGGCCAAGCGGCUCAAUGACAACGGAGGCCUCCCUCCGGUGAGCGUGGACACAGAGGAAAGCCACGACAGUAACCCAUGAUGACCCUUUCUCUGUAUCAUCACACAUACCCACUGCUCCACACACACGCAUCCCAAAUACCACUACCAACCACCUUCUUCCUUUCUACUCUGUCCCACAGGCCUGUCUGGUAUUUGUGGAGCAUCUUGUCUACAGUAUGUGUGUGUAUGUAUGUGUAUGAGAGGGAGAGAGUGUGCCUUGUGUGUGUGUGAGCGCGCGUGUGCAGGGGUGAGGUAUUUUCAGUGCCCUCCCUGGUAAGUCCCUUGUAAGUUUGGUUCCUCCAUGGCUGUCCAUUAUCUGUCUCCUUUCCUUGUGUCCCAGAACAAAGCCGUGUGCCUCACUCAAGAGGUCUGGGGGAGGUUUCAUUUAAAAAUGAUGGGAGCAGGUGAGCCCCAGGUAACUCCUUCUUAUCUCUGACCCUGCCCACAACCUGGGACUGCAGAGAUUCUCCAAAGACAGGCUGCGGAGCUAGACCUGGGAUGGGGGUGAGGAGUUUGGGGCUUAACCUUCCUUGUCAGCCCUGGGUGGUCUGGGGUAAGGCUGGGACUUCCUGGGAAAAGGAAGGUCAGGGAAGAGCAGAGGAGUAGGCUGGAGCUGGGCUCCUGCAGAAAGAGCUAGUGCCUAGAAGUGGAGAGGAGAGCUCCACCCUUCAGUCUGUGUCGCCUUCACUGUCCGGGAGCUACCACUUGUCGCUGUCACAGACUGGCGCUUUCCACACUCACCUCACCUCACCUGCCUCUGCUGCCACUUUCUCUCUUUCCCCUUCUCAUCCUUUCUUCAUCCUGCCCCCCUCUGGACUUCCUUCACUUCCUUGUAUACUAAUCCACUUUAGCUACAUUUCUAUAUUUAGGAUUUAUGCCCAGUCUACUUCCAAAAAUGACUUAGGCCACCUUAAAAUAAAAUUACAGCUAAAAGCACAGGACAGUACAAACUGAGAUUACGAGAGAAAUCGGAUCCAUAGAGAGGAACGGGAAGGAAAGGUCUUUCCGUCGAGCGCUGAAAUUGGCCCUGAGCUUGUGGGCAGCCCAGGCAAGGGAGGAAACAUGGAGAGGUACGCGGUUCCCAGUAUCCGGUUACAGAAGCACACAUGCUGGUCAAGUGAGAUGAGCCUUUUUUUAGGCAUUAAGUUCUAGAAGAACUGAGUCUAAAGAAGUAUCAAGAACUAUAUACAGUAUUUAUCUUUCUUGGUGGUUUGGCUUCAGAGACAAAUUUUAAAUGACAUCUCCCUUUUCUCCAUCAGGAUUCUUCCUCCUUAAAGCUGGCUUCUCUGUUGCUCCCUUCUUCUCAUCCAUACUUGAUCCCCUCUUUCCUUCCACACUGUUCUCUUUCACUCUUGUGCUGAAGCUAAUUGCAUUUUUGUCUGUCUGUCUAUCUGUUUCUGUCUUUCCCUGAUUCCCCCUCCUGACUCCUGUAGACAUUCCCAAUGACACUUACCGUCAAACAUUUAGACUCUUCUUGCCUUUGCCUUCAGCCCUGUAUUUAUUAAUGCAUAUAUAUCCCCUGUUUGUUUCACAAACAAGUUACUCUUUCUUCUCUAGUCUGUAGAGUGGCUGACAUCUGGGGCUGGGGAAACACUUUAGCCUUAGGCAACGGAAAACACCAAGUGAUAGAGUUUACAGUAACCUCAUACAACCUCCUGUCCCAUCUCCUGGUCCAACCUUAGGUGUUUUACUGGUCCUCUACAAAUCUCAGCAUUUAUAGUCCCUUAUCACUCAGGUGCUAGGAAAACACAUAGACUGAAGACCAAGAUUCAGUGGACCAGGAGAAAGAGGGAGAAGGCCUCCUGGGCACUG